ACAGUGCUCCGGUCUGUCGCUGGCACAGCGAUGUGCGAGAGGAAAGUCCGGGCAGCAAAUGGCACCCCACUCCCGAAAAUAGGAGCUAUCGGUGACGGUAGGUAAUGGCAGAAGAAAACAACCGCUCACAUCGCAGGAUGAGAGUAAGGGUGAGAAGGUAGUGUAAGAGACUACCAGCCGGCGGGCGAUCGCCGGGCUGUGCCGUCUGGGGGCUGCAAGUUCAUGUAAACCGUUGGUUGAGGGCAGCCAGUCCGAAUCCUUCAGGCAUCUGCGGGCAACCGAAGUGUCUGCAAUGGUACGGCGGAGGGUAGAACGCUUGAGCUGUGUGGCAACAUACAGAGUAGAUAAAUGACAGACGCAGGCAACUGUACAGAACCCGGCUUAUAGGAGCACUGUUUUU
rnacentral:RNase_P_RNA from 1 species